rnacentral:lncRNA from 1 species
GCAUAUAUAUUUCUACUUAUCUACUGAUGAUGCUUCAUGGCCAAGAAAAGAAACAGUUGUUGGAGGUAGAGUUACUACAGUGUACUGUGAAGUCUUUACUAACUGAAAACUCAGAGAGGCAGUAAAGCUUGUUUCUGAUACAUUCCCUGUGAUUUUUGAAUGACUCCUGGUAAUAGAUCAAGUCCUAUUUCCUUAUCAUCUAAGUGUCAGAAGUGAGACCAAUGACAGGAUCCCCAGGAGGCUGAACACUGAACCAUGCAUGGCAAAGUGGAGAGAAUUAACCAGAUUAUAAAAAGUAGACUCGCCGAGGUAUGCACAAAAUCAGACCUGAGUCAGCCAGAUCUUGGUGAUCAUAUCCACUUCUUCUGAGAUUAACAGCUCCAGAUGGUGUAUCUUGUGUGUGACCACUUCUCUACAACAGCACCCCUUUGCAAUGACCAGAUUUUGAACUAUAAGCCAAGGUGUAUUACCUCCUCACGCUGUGGAGUCGAUGGUGGGUUCUCCAACCCUUCAGGAGUGAAAUGCAAGUUAGACUCCAGGGUCUCGGCAAUCAGACUGUGUCCACCCUCUAAUCGACGAGCACGGAGGAGCUCACCACCGGCAGACUGGCCAUUAGAGGAUGUACUAUCCAAGAAAGCAAAGAAACGUCCACCCUGCCCGCCAGGCUCGUGCGCCCUCCUUGCUCCUGCAGGGAGAAUGGCCGAGGGAUGGCAAGUUGGAUAGAAGGGUUCAAGAAUCCCUUCGUUUUUAGAAUCCCUGUGUUUAACGAAUGUUUGUUGACUGUCAGAAGCACUUGAUUUCCUAGAACAAAAUGCAUUCUUAAAGCCUCUCCUUAAAAAAAAAGUGUCCUUCCUGCAUGCAUCCAGGUGCAGCAGAGAUGGCUUUCGCCGACUGUCCUCUGAUGGCUGUUUAAUGAGGCAUGGCACAGGAAGACGUGUAUUUGCCAAAGUUGUUUGCCCCGUCGUAGAGCCUAUCCAGCACAGAGUCCAGAAAAGAGUCAUUCCUUUUAGACGGUGAGAUUCUCCAGAUGUUCCUUCGGAGGAAUGUCAUUCUGCUCAUUGUCGCGAGUCCGAGAAAACCACAGAACCUCUGAAAGGAGAUCCUCCUCUGCCCAAAGAGUUUGGCUUCUCCGCCCUCAAAGGCAAAAGCAAGUUGCUGAUGGAUAGACAGAGCCCGUCCAUCAGCAUCUAUAUCUUAGGCGGAGAUUAGGGAUGGAGGCCAAACGGGCUGAGGGGAGAAAAGAGGAAAUGAGCAGGUGGGAUUUUCAAGGAUCCCAGGCUUCUCUCUGAAACCCCAACCCUUUUUGGACCAACAACCUUUUUGACAAUAUUCAAUAGCUCCAAAUCAUGGAAUACCACAACCUCCGAAGCAUCAAAAUGACAGGUGACGUGAAGGACAAUGGAGAGCCAUGUGGUGGGUGUCAAUAGACUGUAGCAUGUUAAUAAUGACGGCUUUCAUGCAAAAGGCAACGUAAGGGAUAUUAUCAAAGAGAUGUAUGGCCGGAAAAGGAGGUGGGUUGGUAGUGUAGGAAGAGCUAGAGAUAACAGAUGGAUAGCACAUGUGCUCCAUUGGUACCACAUCAUGUGAAGAGAGAGAUCAAGGGGAAGGCUUCCAGCAUGUUGCCUCCACCUCCUGAAAAGGAUUAAAAAAAAAAUACCAAUACUCUGUAUUGGUUCCAAGGCAGAAGAGCAGCAAAGGCUAGACAAUGUAGGUUAAGUGACUUGCCCAGGGUCACACAGCUGGGAAGUGUAUGAGGGCAGAUUUGAACCCAGGACCUCCUGUCUCUAGGUCUGACUCUCAAUCCACUGAACCACCCAGAUGAUCCCUACUGUAAAGGAUUUAUAGGACAUGGAAGAGAGUCACACAGGAUGGGAAGCCCUGAUAAGCAGAAUCAUAGGGAAUACCUUGCUUUGAGAAGAGCAGUUGAUUUAAUGAAGUUCCACACAAAUUUGCUUGGAGAUCUGGCAAUACAUAAACAUUUUAAAGGUUAGAUGUAAAGAGCAGCCAGGUGGCUCAGUGGGAUCAGGAAUCAAUCUCAGAGACAAGAGAUCCUGGGUUCAAAUUUGCCAUCAGAUGCUUCCUAGCUUGCCUAGGCCUUACCACUCUUCUGCCUUGGAACCAAUACUUAGUAUUGAUUCUAAGAUGGAAGGUAAGGGUUAAAAAGAAUAUAUGCAAAAGAAAGAGCAGUUAGAUACCACAGUGGACAGAGAACCAGGCCUGGAUUUGGGAGGAUCUGGGUUAAAAUCUGACCUCAGAAACUUUCUAGCUGUGUGACCCAGGGCAAGUCACUUAACCCCAUUGUCUAGCCCUUGUUGCUCUUAGAAUUAAUACUGAGACAGAAGAUAAAGCUUAUUAAAAAAAAAAGAAUGUAAAAGAACCAACUUGAUACUUAAAAUAAUAGUUUCUAUUAGAUAGUAUCAUAAAUCCAGUAUGCAAAGAAUAUAUGAGUUUAAUUCAGGUUCAAGAGUUCCCCAAAACAUAAACUAGUUUACUUAUCAGAUCUAUGGAGAAGGGAAGAAUUUAUGACCAAAUAUGAGACAGAGAAUUUUACAUGAGUAAAUGAGUAAUUUUGAUUUUAUUACGUUAAAAAGGUUUUAUACAAACAAAACCAAUGCAACCUAGUCUAAAAGACAAACAAUAAUCUGGGAAAACAUUUUUAUAACAAAUUUCUCCAAUAAAGUUCUCAUUUCUCAACUAUAUGAAGAAUUA